AUACGGGGGGUCCGAGCGUUAUCCGGAAUCAUUGGGUUUAAAGGGUCCGUAGGCGGGAAUCUAAGUCAGUGGUGAAAUCUUGCAGCUCAACUGUAAAAUUGCCAUUGAUACUGGAUUUCUUGAAUUAGUGUGAAGUGGUUAGAAUGUGUAGUGUAGCGGUGAAAUGCAUAGAUAUUACACAGAAUACCAAUUGCGAAGGCAGAUCACUAACACUAUAUUGACGCUGAGGGACGAAAGCGUGGGGAGCGAACAGGAUUAGAUACCCCAGUAGUCC
rnacentral:rRNA from 1 species